rnacentral:rRNA from 1 species
AUUGAACGCUGGCGGAAUGCUUUACACAUGCAAGUCGAACGGACUUAAAGGGCUUGCUCUUUAAGUUAGUGGCGAACGGGUGAGUAAUAUAUCGGAACGUAUCCAAUAAUGGGGGAUAACUAAUCGAAAGGUUGGCUAAUACCGCAUACGUCCUACGGGAGAAAGCUAGGGACCUUCGGGCCUGGCGUGAAUGGAGCGGCCGCUAUCUGAUUAGCUAGUUGGUGGGGUAAAGGCUCACCAAGGCGACGAUCAGUAGCUGGUCUGAGAGGACGACCAGCCACACUGGAACUGAGACACGGUCCAGACUCCUACGGGAGGCAGCAGUGGGGAAUUUUGGACAAUGGGCGAAAGCCUGAUCCAGCCAUUCCGCGUGAGUGAAGAAGGCCUUCGGGUUGUAAAGCUCUUUCGCAAGGGAAGAACACUUAAUCUCUAACAUAGAUUGAGGUUGACGGUACCUUGAUAAGAAGCACCGGCUAACUACGUGCCAGCCGCCGCGGUAA